CCUGGUAUACACACGUUCGCCUCACAGAACUUCUCGGCAAACUGUCGACUCAAAGAGUCAAAAUACCUAAUUCACUCUCCAUCCAUGAUCCAUCAGUGAUCAAUCUUUUUUCAGUUUCCCACUCUCGAUCUCCUCUCGCUUUUUCCACUCAAUGUCACUUUCCCUUUUCGAUAUCUUGGUGGAUGUUGGGAUCGAUUCUUCUACAGGUUCACUAGAUUGCUCGGCUUCCCAAACUGAUUCGGAUGCUUAAUUACGGGAUUAAUUAAUUGAUUUCACAGAUGGAUUGCUGGGCUUCUUGUAUCGGGGUAUGGCAUGACUGAGUCAAAUAUGAUUAGUGGUGUUAGUCAAUCUGGUAUAUCUUCUGCUAAUGGCACAAUGAUGCCAACUCCUGGAAUGGGUCAACAAGGACAAUAUUUAAACUUCUUUACUGUAUUAGUGCUUGCUUCGGUUAGUGUACUCUUCUUCUCAUUCUCAUUUUGCCAACUAUAAUUUUGAUAUUCUCAUCCUCAUUUGUUAUCUGAAAAUAUAGAUACAUCUAUAUUUCCACACAUGAAAUAAAUUAUAGAGCUCUGGCUCCUACAUAGGAGUAUCUGUCUAGCAGUUUAUUAGCAAGUAUUGCAAGGACUAAUUCAAAAACUUUGGAAGGCACCAAAACCUCUGUUCGGCCUUGCUGGUAUAAUGUGGGUAGCUUUCGCCGAGAGCAAACAGAUCUAUUAAGGAAUUUUUGCCCGGUAAAAGCUGUGAAUGCAUCAAGAAAUGUGGACACUGAAAACUGCAUGGUCAACUAAUAGAUACAGUUUAAUAGUGAGAAAGUUGCUUGUUUGGCUUAUGCUCGAAUCCAGGCUUCUCUUAUCAUCUUGGAAGAGAUAUAUUAUACCGGGUAUAUGUGGCAUUCUUGGGGGUUUUUUAUAUCAGUUAAAUUUUGUUUUACAUCCGAAAAUUGAAGGUGAUCCAGGACUUUUAACAUGUUCCAUAUACUAAUACUAUGGGAAUACUUCUACUUUCAUUUUUAUACAUAUUUUGUUAUAGCUCUGUUAGUUUUUUAAAGAAGAAGGAAGUGAACUUUAGAUUAAAUAAUAAUUUUAGUGGCAUCAGUCUUAUCUAUUCUUCAUAUGUAUCGAGAAUAAAACAUUAAGUAAUUAAGACUAUGUCACUUGAACUUGGCUGAUAGUGUCCAAGUGACAAGCUCGACAACAUAUUUUAAAUUUGCCCUGUUAAGUAAAUAUUAAAUAAAGGGUAACUAUUUUUAUCACAGGCUUUCUGGUGCAUCUUCUCUCCUGUUUUUAGUCCCCUUCUUAGUGCGCUUUGCUUACAUAUUUCCAAUAAGAAAUAAGCUUACUUAUAUAAGGUGGAGCAACUGAAUGUUUAUCACACGCUUUCUGGUGCAUCUCCUAUCCUGUUUUUUUGUCCCUUUUAUCUUUCUUUGUUUUUUUUUAAAAACAACUUUUGUUGCACAUCAUACAAUGGUAAUAUAUUGUUAAUGAUAUUGGUUUAAUAUUUCCUCACUGUAAUUAUAUUGGACUGCAGACUUAUUUACAAUGCGACUUCUCUUAUAUGCAGAAGCUGCCUCAGUUCCCAUUACCCACUCACAAUGUUGUUGUGAGAGGACAUUCUCCGCUGGAAUUUGAGAUCUUCGUGCAACAUAUCAAGACAUUGCUUUCGGGGCUUAAAUUAUGCACUAGUUUCCGUCGCAAAGGAGCAUCCUAGUUAUGGAACAGCUUUGUCUUCUGUGAUCGAGGGAAAGAACGAAGAAAUGUCUAACACCUGAGCUGUCUGGUGGAGCAAGAAUUCAUUAUAUAUUCCAACUAAUAUUUGUGAAGAGUUUGGAGAUGUUCUUAGUGUAAUAAAAAAAUUCAUUAUAUAUAACAAUCAAUAUGCGUGAAGAGUUUGGAGAUGUUUCUAAUGUAAUAAACAACUAGGUAAUAUUUUUUUAUUAAUAAGAUCGAAUUGUUUAUUCA